rnacentral:rRNA from 1 species
UGAGGAAUAUUGCGCAAUGGGGGCAACCCUGACGCAGCAACGCCGCGUGAGUGAGGAAGGUUUUCGGACCGUAAAGCUCUGUCGAGCGGGAAGAAGUGCAUGGUGGCUAAUAUCCAUCAUGCUUGACGGUACCGCUAGAGGAAGCACCGGCUAACUCCGUGCCAGCAGCCGCGGUAAUACGGAAGGGGCUAGCGUUGUUCGGAUUUACUGGGCGUAAAGCGCAUGUAGGCGGCGGAUCAAGUGGGGCGUGAAAGGCCUGGGCUCAACCUGGGAACUGCGCUUCAGACUGGUUUGCUCGAGUUCGGGGGAGGGUGGUGGAAUUCCCAGUGUAGAGGUGAAAGUCGUAGAUAUUGGGAGGAACACCGGUGGCGAAGGCGGCCACCUGGCCCGAGACUGACGCUCAAGUGCGAAAGCGUGGGGAUCGAACA